rnacentral:misc_RNA from 1 species
AAUUCUCAACUUCAUUCAGCUUUUGUUAGUUGAAUGUGGCUUGGAUUGUGGGGGUUGUGCGGGCUUCUUUCAAGUCGGCUCCCUUUAAAUGCAUUAGCGGAAAACCCUUGUGGACCGUCUUUGGUGUGAUAAUUAUCUACGCCAUAGCCGUGAAGCAGCUUAUAAAAUGGGACUUCAGCUUCUAACCGUCCUUUAAGAGGACAGCACUUAAUUGACA